UAUCAGCUUGUUGGUGGGGUGAUGGCCUACCAAGGCGAUGACGGGUAGCCGGCCUGAGAGGGCGACCGGCCACACUGGGACUGAGACACGGCCCAGACUCCUGCGGGAGGCAGCAGUGGGGAAUAUUGCGCAAUGGGCGGAGGCCUGACGCAGCGACGCCGCGUGGGGGAUGACGGCCUUCGGGUUGUAAACCUCUUUUACCACUCACGAAGGCUCCCAGUGUUCUGGGGGUUGACGGUAGGUGGUGAAUAAGGACCGGCUAACUACGUGCCAGCAGCCGCGGUAAUACGUAGGGUCCGAGCGUUGUCCGGAAUUAUUGGGCGUAAAGAGCUCGUAGGCGGCCUGUCGCGUCUGCUGUGAAAGUCCGGGGCUUAACUUCGGGUGUGCAGUGGAUACGGGCAGGCUUGAGGUAGGUAGGGGAGACUGGAAUUCCUGGUGUAGCGGUGAAAUGCGCAGAUAUCAGGAGGAACACCGGUGGCGAAGGCGGGUCUCUGGGCCUUACCUGACGCUGAGGAGCGAAAGCGUGGGGAGCGAACAGGAUUAGAUACCCUGGUAGUCCACGCCGUAAACGUUGGGCGCUAGGUGUGGGGACUUUCCACGGUUUCCGUGCCGUAGCUAACGCAUUAAGCGCCCCGC
rnacentral:rRNA from 1 species